rnacentral:rRNA from 1 species
CAGCAGCCGCGGUAAUACAGAGGGUGCGAGCGUUAAUCGGAUUUACUGGGCGUAAAGCGUGCGUAGGCGGCUUUUUAAGUCGGAUGUGAAAUACCUGAGCUUAACUUAGGAAUUGCAUUCGAUACUGGGAAGCUAGAGUAUGGGAGAGGAUGGUAGAAUUCCAGGUGUAGCGGUGAAAUGCGUAGAGAUCUGGAGGAAUACCGAUGGCGAAGGCAGCCAUCUGGCCUAAUACUGACGCUGAGGUACGAAAGCAUGGGGAGCAAACAGGAUUAGAUACCCCAGUAGUCCCUGUCUUUUAUAC